rnacentral:rRNA from 1 species
CUGCAGCCCGAGUGGUGAUCGAUUUUAUUGAGCCUAAAGCGUCCGUAGCCGGACUAGUAAACCCUUGGGUAAAUUGGGCAGCUUAACUGUCCAAAUUCCGAGGAGACUGCCAGACUUGGGACCGGGAGAGGUCAGAGGUACUCCAGGGGUAAGGGCUAAAUCCUGUAAUCCUUGGGGGACCACCAGUGGCGAAGGCGUCUGACUAGAACGGAUUCGACGGUAAGGGACGAAACCCUGGGGCGCAAACCGGAUUAGAUACCCGAGUAGUCC